rnacentral:rRNA from 1 species
GACGAACGCUGGCGGCGUGCUUAACACAUGCAAGUCGAACGGAAAGGCCCUGCUUUUGUGGGGUGCUCGAGUGGCGAACGGGUGAGUAACACGUGAGUAACCUGCCCUUGACUUUGGGAUAACUUCAGGAAACUGGGGCUCAUACCGGAUAGGAGCUCCUGCUGCAUGGUGGGGGUUGGAAAGUUUCGGCGGUUGGGGAUGGACUCGCGGCUUAUCAGCUUGUUGGUGGGGUAGUGGCUUACCAAGGCUUUGACGGGUAGCCGGCCUGAGAGGGUGACCGGCCACAUGGGGACUGAGAUACGGCCCAGACUCCUACGGGAGGCAGCAGUGGGGAGUAUUGCACAAUGGGCGGAAGCCUGAUGCAGCAACGCCGCGUGCGGGAUGACGGCCUUCGGGUUGUAAACCGCUUUCGCCUGUGACGAAGCGUGAGUGACGGUAAUGGGUAAAGAAGCACCGGCUAACUACGUG